GGGCGACUAGCUCAAUGGUAGAGCAGCAGACUCUUAAUCUGGUGGUUCAGGGUUCGAGCCCCUGGUCGCCCA
rnacentral:tRNA from 8 species